rnacentral:rRNA from 1 species
CCUACGGGAGGCUGCAGUGAGGAAUAUUGGUCAAUGGACGAGAGUCUGAACCAGCCAAGUAGCGUGAAGGAUGACUGCCCUAUGGGUUGUAAACUUCUUUUAUAUGGGAAUAAAACGUUCCACGUGUGGGAUUUUGUAUGUACCAUAUGAAUAAGGAUCGGCUAACUCCGUGCCAGCAGCCGCGGUAAUACGGAGGAUCCGAGCGUUAUCCGGCUUUAUUGGGUUUAAAGGGAGCGUAGGUGGAUUGUUAAGUCAGUUGUGAAAGUUUGCGGCUCAACCGUAAAAUUGCAGUUGAAACUGGCAGUCUUGAGUACAGUAGAGGUGGGCGGAAUUCGUGGUGUAGCGGUGAAAUGCUUAGAUAUCACGAAGAACUCCGAUUGCGAAGGCAGUUCACUGGACUGCAACUGACACUGAGGCUCGAAAGUGUGGGUAUCAAACAGGAUUAGAUACCCUUGUAGUC